rnacentral:rRNA from 1 species
UACGUAGGAGGCGAGCGUUGUCCGGAGUUACUGGGCGUAAAGGGUGCGCAGGCGGCGUCACGCGUGGCUAGAUGAAAUCUCCUGGCUUACCUGGGAGGGUGGUAGCCAGACGGUGGCGCUUGAGGGUCGGAGAGGGGCGUGGAAUUCCGGGUGGAGCGGUGAAAUGCGUAGAGAUCCGGAGAACACCGACGGCGUAGGCAGCGCCCUGGACGACACCUGACG